rnacentral:lncRNA from 1 species
UGGUGUCCUAUUUAGCUAUUAAAUUUGUAUUGUGCAUGAUUUAUUGAUGAAAAUGUCUCUGCGGUGCUGGCCUGGAACGAUGCAUAAUUAUGCUUGAAAGGUGUGUAAUUUUUCAGUAAUGAAAGGAAAGACAGCCUGCAAAGAGACAUUCGAAGGCGAAUUUAAGGAAGUAGCGAAAUAACUUAAAAUUUAUCAAGAUGAACGUGAAGAUGAAAGAGAAUUUUUUUACCAGUUUUAAAGUCACUGUAUUGAUCAUAACGUAAGUUUUCAGUCCCUCCUGCAUUUUUUAAUCUUAAAAGCACCUAAGAUAACAGUAAUAAAAGGCGGUUGAAUCUAGACGAAACUCAGUCUUUGCAGUCUCGAAAAGGAAGCAUCAGUCAACGAAGUUCAGGAAAAGUUGGAAUAUUCUUGCUUAGAACGAACUACGGCGCCGAAAGAUGGGAAAGGAGAAACGUAAAGGCUUGCUCGCAGCGAACAAUAGAACGAAAGAAUCGUAAAGAGAUGUCGGACAUGCCUUGGGACAUUUAUGCACGCAAAUACAAAACUCGAUUUCGACAAUAUGCAUGAGUAAAAAUUGCCUGGAAUUUGGCUUUUUUGACUGAGAUAUAAACUGAACACUCUUCUUUUUACCUCCUUCAUUUUCAAGUUUUUCGCCUGUGCAUGAUUUUUGCAUGAAGUCUGGUCGUAUCAAGCGCAUGCGGAGUGAAUACAAGUGAUUCUGGGGCCCCAAUCACUUGUGUUUUCUCCAUCUUGACGACUAUAUAGUCCGGACAAAAUUAUCGCUCAGAGAGCGCCUAAAACAUAAAAACAUGAAAUAUGUAUUUCUAGAAGGAGAUGAUAGUCCAGUGUUCUUGCUUUCUUGUACAAAAACGUGCAUGACAUUUUGUAUUAAAACGUGCAUGACAUUUUGUAUUCGCGUGCGCAAUGCGAAGGCCACGAGUGACUUACGUUGGAGUGUCGGAGAUGAUGAAGGAUCGUCGC